rnacentral:tRNA from 1 species
UCCCAGGUGGCUCAGUGGUAGAGAGUCUGCCUGAUAAGCAGGAGACACGAGUUCGAUCCCUGAGUCAGGAA